ACACAUGCAGUCGAACGGAGCUGCUUUGAUGAAGUUUUCGGAUGGAUUUAAAACAGCUUAGUGGCGGACGGGUGAGUAACGCGUGGGUAACCUGCCUCACACUGGGGGAUAACAGUUAGAAAUAGCUGCUAAUACCGCAUAAGCGCACAGUUCCGCAUGGAACAGUGUGAAAAACUCCGGUGGUGUGAGAUGGACCCGCGUCUGAUUAGCCAGUUGGCGGGGUAACGGCCCACCAAAGCGACGAUCAGUAGCCGGCCUGAGAGGGUGAACGGCCACAUUGGGACUGAGACACGGCCCAAACUCCUACGGGAGGCAGCAGUGGGGAAUAUUGCACAAUGGGGGAAACCCUGAUGCAGCGACGCCGCGUGAGUGAAGAAGUAUUUCGGUAUGUAAAGCUCUAUCAGCAGGGAAGAAAGUGACGGUACCUGAAUAAGAAGCCCCGGCUAACUACGUGCCAGCAGCCGCGGUAAUACGUAGGGGGCAAGCGUUAUCCGGAUUUACUGGGUGUAAAGGGAGCGUAGACGGCAAGGCAAGUCUGAAGUGAAAGCCCGGUGCUUAACGCCGGGACUGCUUUGGAAACUGUUUAGCUGGAGUGCCGGAGAGGUAAGCGGAAUUCCUAGUGUAGCGGUGAAAUGCGUAGAUAUUAGGAAGAACACCAGUGGCGAAGGCGGCUUACUGGACGGUAACUGACGUUGAGGCUCGAAAGCGUGGGGAGCAAACAGGAUUAGAUACCCUGGUAGUCCACGCCGUAACGAUGAUUGCUAGGUGUAGGUGGGUAUGGACCCAUCGGUGCCGCAGCUAACGCAAUAAGCAAUCCACCUGGGGAGUACGUUCGCAAGAAUGAAACUCAAGGAAUUGACGGGGACCCGCACAAGCGGUGGAGCAUGUGGUUUAAUUCGAAG
rnacentral:rRNA from 1 species